rnacentral:rRNA from 1 species
CCUACGGGAGGCAGCAGUGAGGAAUAUUGGUCAAUGGACGAGAGUCUGAACCAGCCAAGUAGCGUGAAGGAUGACUGCCCUAUGGGUUGUAAACUUCUUUUAUAUGGGAAUAAAAUGUUCCACGCGUGUGAUUCUGUAUGUACCAUAUGAAUAAGGAUCGGCUAACUCCGUGCCAGCAGCCGCGGUAAUACGGAGGAUCCGAGCGUUAUCCGGAUUUAUUGGGUUUAAAGGGUGCGUAGGUGGAUUGUUAAGUCAGUUGUGAAAGUUUGAGGCUCAACCGUAAAAUUGCAGUUGAUACUGUCAGUCUUGAGUACAGUAGAGGUGGGCGGAAUGCGUGGUGUAGCGGUGAAAUGCUUAGAUAUCACGAAGAACACCGAUUGCGAAGGCAGCUUACUGGGCUGCAACUGACACUGAGGCACGAAAGUGUGGGUAGCAAACAGGAUUAGAUACCCGAGUAGUC